rnacentral:rRNA from 1 species
GUGUCAGCAGCCGCGGUAAUACGAACCGUCCAAACGUUAUUCGGAAUCACUGGGCUUAAAGGGUGCGUAGGCGGCCCGAAAAGUUGGGUGUGAAAGCCCUCGGCUCAACCGAGGAAUUGCGCCCAAAACUGCCGGGCUCGAGGGAGACAGAGGUGAGCGGAACUUAGGGUGGAGCGGUGAAAUGCGUUGAUAUCCUAAGGAACACCAGUAGCGUAAGCGGCUCACUGGGUCUCUUCUGACGCUGAGGCACGAAAGCUAGGGGAGCGAAGAGGAUUAGAUACCCUGGUAGUCC